rnacentral:sRNA from 1 species
GGUGCUAUCCUAUCUGAGCUUAUCUCUUCUUUUUGUUUUUUUUUCUUAACUCUCUUAAUUCUUUUUCUUGACCCUGCAAGACUUUUUUAUCUUAUGAUUUUCCUUCUGGCCGUUCCCUACUCCGUUCUAACUUUUCAUCUUUAUCCUUCGCUUCUACCGACCUUCCCACCUCCCUUCCAUCUGUCUAUCCCUCCUGAGCUA